rnacentral:lncRNA from 12 species
CUUUCAUCCUCUGCCAGGGGCCUGACGCGGGCCGGCGGAUCCCCGGCCUCAAAUCGGAGUGAGAGGCGCUGGCGAUGGACCGGGAGGCUCGGCUGCCGCUGCUGCUGCUCCCCCCUGGGCUCCGGCGGGAGCCUUUCCCGGUCAGGCAAGAGGGCCAAGAAGGCAGGGCUGCCGGGGCCGCACUAGAAGAGGCGGCAGCCUCCUACAGCACCACUACAGGCACUGCGAGGACAUAACACCAGAGAGCCGCUCCUCGGCCUCCGAAACGACAACUUUCCUACCAUCUUGGAGGCCGAGCAAAGGGGGGCCGGGGGGAAAAGUGCACCCGCUCCCGAUAAAGUACACAUCUCGACUUCUCAUCUCCGGAAAACCGUCCACACCGGCCGUCUACACCGGCGCCUGGGGCGGGGGGAGCGGGGAAGACCCGGGGGUGCUUGAGAAAAACCCUUUCCUUUGCACCACCGGGGGGAGAGGGGGGAUGUUUCUGCAUCUUCUGCUGGAAAGAAAUCUUUACAAGACACAGGUUUUCCGGCAAUGGGAAUCAAGCCUAUUAAGUGUUCCAGGAAGGCAGGAUACAGCUGUUGGUCUUGCACAGUGCCCACCGAGGCAGAGAUCACGGGAGAGGUUAAAUAGGACCGAAGCAUCUCUGACCACGGUCCUGGAAAUGAUUCUGAUUCUGUGAUGGUCUACCCAGGAAGAAAG